GGUUGAUCCUGCCAGCGGUGAUAUGCUUCGAUUAAAGAUUAAGCCAUGCAUGUCUAAGAUCAUACCUAUGGUGAAUCUGCGAACGGCUCAUUAAAACAGCUAUAAUCUACUCGAUUUUGAUCCUUAAACGGAUAACUGCGCUAAUUGUGGAGCUAAUACGUGCACCAAAGCCCGAAUCGGGCGCACUUAUUAGAUCAAGACCAAUCGGGGCAACCCGUUUUGGUGACUCUGAAUAAUUACGCUGAUCGCAUGGUCUAGCACCGGCGACGUAUCGUUCGAGUGUCUGCCUUAU
rnacentral:rRNA from 1 species